rnacentral:rRNA from 1 species
UACGUAGGGGCAAGCGUUAUCCGGAAUCACUGGGCGUAAAGCGCAUGUAGGCGGGAUAUUAAGUCAGGUGUGAAAACUAUGGGCUCAACCUGUAGAUUGCAUCUGAAACUGAUAUUCUUGAGUAUUGGAGAGGAAAGUGGAAUUCCUAGUGUAGCGGUGAAAUGCGUAGAUAUUAGGAGGAACACCAGUGGCGAAGGCGACUUUCUGGCCAAAAACUGACGCUGAGAUGCGAAAGCGUGGGGAGCAAACAGGAUUAGA